CAGCUGUGCAUAAAGAAGUGAGAACGGACAAAAGAAAAACGAUCAGAUGCUUGGACAGAGAGGGGGAAGGCCAGCAAGGCUGGGCCGGGGAGAUGCUGCUUCAUCUUUCUGUGACACAUCCCUUCCUCCCAGGUAUGGGGCAGAACCUCGCCGUACAAUCAGAGAAUUAGGUCACAGAAUUUCUCUUUGGGCACACGUAUGAUGGCAGGGAAAGGUCAGAGCAUAUUUCUAGUGCCCUGACCUGCCUUGAGGGGAAGAGGCAUUCUGAUUUCUGUGAAUUGCUUCGGGGAAGGAGAACAGAAUGAUAGCCCUCAGACAGGAGGGCAGCAAAAGGCCAUAGAGGGACUCUGAGCUUCUUUGAACAUCUUUCUCUUUAAAGUACUCAGUAUGUGAAAGGUCUACUCGCCGGGAUAUCCCCUUCUGAGCCCCAAUACCGUUCUCCUAACCUUGUUGCUUAUUGACACCUCUGAAAUCCUCUUUGCAGUUUAUCCUAAAGCAGACAAUGUUUACUGACACACAGAACUCAAGUUUCUCCUAGAUAGAAAAGGCGACAGCAGAUGCCAGGUGAAGCACAGUGAGCUAUUGUUUCUCACAAUGAAUCACUGAGAAAUGACACAGCAUAGAAGAUAGACUUGUAGACCAGCCUGACUACCAACAGCAAUGGGUCACUAUAGAAAACGCUGCUUUGAACACGCUCUAUGAAGAAUAGAGUGUUGAGAGCCUUUCUAAUUUUGGAGCUCUAUGGGGUGAUUCAGAUUUGUUUUAUUUUUAUUUUUUUUUAAUUUUCCUUGAAAACCCUCUCUUUCUGUCUCUCUGUCUCUAUCUCUCUGUUUCUGUCUCUCUGUCUCCAUCUCUCUGUCUCUCUCCUUUUUUUGUGUGUGUCUGUGUGUCUCUGUGUGUGUUUGUGUGUGUGUGUGCUGAGCAUGUUUAAUAAUGUUCAUGUGGAAAUGUAAGGACAACUUGUGGGGAACCAAUUUUUUCUCUCUACCCUAUGCCAUUCAGGGUUUGAACUUUAGCUCUCAGGCUUGGCAGCAAGUGCCUCUACUGGCUCACCCACUUCUCUGGCCCUUUUGUCUUCUUUUGAGACAGGGUCUCAUACCUGGAAUGUGCUACACAUCCAGAAGUGACUUUGGACUCUUCAUCUUCUCGCCUUUGCCUCCUGAGCGCUAGGACUAUGGGUGUGUACAUAGCCUGUUGUUUGAUGUGGGAAUUUAAUCCAGGUCUGUCCAUGUGGGAGGAAAGCAGGUGCGAGUUGAGUUACAAACGGAAGCCCUUACCAGGAAUCUGGGAAUAUGUAGUUUUCACUUGUGGGACAUAUGGGCUAACAGGGAGAUAUUUUUGGAAAAGUGGUACUUGUAGGUAUCAGAGUUCAGGGCCUGGCAUCCCCAAAUCUGACAUCUUGGCAUGCCAGUCUGCCAUGAAUAUUGAACAAUCGCUCUGCCACGGAGCUCCACCCACCCCUGCUGCCGCACUAUUUAAUGUAAGCUGAAUAGAAGCAAAAAAGUUCCCUUACCUUUCUCCCUUGAAACAUGGCAGAUAGGAAUACUCUGACCUACAUCCCCUAAAUGGAAGUCCCAAGGCCCCCAUGUGCCCCAUGUGUUCUUUCUCAUACCUGAGGGCAAUAAAAAUCUGAAGCUGUAGGCUUUGCUUUCUAAGUUCACUAGCUUGUCACGGUUAGGUUGUAUCUUCUGUUGCCCAGUCGCAUUUCCACGUGACGACCCACUAGGUUUUGGAAGACUGUCUAAGAAAACACAAUGGCCUCUUGUUUUUCAGUCUUCGUUGUGAGAGCUCUACCGGGCAGAGGAUGUCAGUAUUUGUCUAGUCAUGUCGAAGAAGAAGAAGAAGAAGAAGAAGAAGAAGAAGAAGAAGAAGAAGAAGAAGAAGAAGAAGAAGAAGAAGACGACACGUGCUCUAUGUGCUUUCUGCCUUGGCUGUCCCAGGAAAAACUCUAGAACAAGCUGAC